rnacentral:rRNA from 1 species
UGAUCUAGCCCUGCCGCGUGAGUGACGAAGGCCCUAGGGUCGUAAAGCUCUUUCGCCUGUGAAGAUAAUGACGGUAGCAGGUAAAGAAACCCCGGCUAACUCCGUGCCAGCAGCCGCGGUAAUACGGAGGGGGUUAGCGUUGUUCGGAAUUACUGGGCGUAAAGCGCGCGUAGGCGGAUUGGAAAGUUGGGGGUGAAAUCCCGGGGCUCAACCCCGGAACUGCCUCCAAAACUUCCAGUCUGGAGUUCGAGAGAGGUGAGUGGAAUUCCGAGUGUAGAGGUGAAAUUCGUAGAUAUUCGGAGGAACACCAGUGGCGAAGGCGGCUCACUGGCUCGAUACUGACGCUGAGGUGCGAAAGUGUGGGGAGCAAACAGGAUUAGAUACCCUGGUAGUCCACACCGUAAACGAUGAAUGCCAGACGUCGGGCAGCAUGCUGUUCGGUGUCACACCUAACGGAUUAAGCAUUCCGCCUGGGGAGUACGGCCGCAAGGUUA